rnacentral:misc_RNA from 1 species
GAUGAAGAACGCAGCGAAAUGCGAUAAGUAAUGUGAAUUGCAGAAUCCAGUGAAUCAUCGAAUCUUUGAACGCACAUUGCGCCCCCUGGUAUUCCGGGGGGCAUGCCUGUCCGAGCGUCAUUGCUGCCCUCAAGCACGGCUUGUGUGUUGGGCCUCCGUCCUCCUCCCGGGGGACGGGCCCGAAAGGCAGCGGCGGCACCGCGUCCGGUCCUCGAGCGUAUGGGGCUUCGUCACCCGCUCUUGUAGGCCCGGCCGGCGCUUGCCGACACAUCAAUCUUUUUUCCAGGUUGACCUCGGAUCAGGUAGGGAUACCCGCUGAACUUAAGCAUAUCAAUAGCGGAGGA